rnacentral:rRNA from 1 species
GACGAACGCUGGCGGCGUGCUUAACACAUGCAAGUCGAACGGAAAGGCCUGCUUUCCCUUGUGGAUUGCGGGUACUCGAGUGGCGAACGGGUGAGUAACACGUGAGUGAUCUGCCCCCAACUUGGGUAUAAGCCUGGGAAACUGCGUCUAAUUCCCGAUAGGACUGCAGGGUGGUGCCUGUGGUGGAAAACGAUUUUCUAGUGGUUGGGGAUGAGCUCGCGGCCUAUCAGCUUGUUGGUGGGGUAAUGGCCUACCAAGGCGGCGACGGGUAGCCGGCCUGAGAGGGUGGGCGGGCACAUUGGGACUGAGAGACGGCACAGACUCCUACGGGAGGCAGCAGUGGGGAAUAAUGCACAAUGGGCGGAAGCCUGAUGCAGCGACGCCGCGUGGGGGAUGACGGCCUUCGGGUUGUAAACUCCUUUCGACCGCGAGGAAGCCACCUGGUUGGAAGGGUGGUGACGGUAGUGGUAGAAGAAGCACCGGCUAACUACGUG